CCAGGGAAUUCUGGGAGUUGAAGUCUGAAAGUUGCCACGGUUGAGAAACAUCUCCUAACCUCGUCGUCUUCCCCUUUCUCCAAUCUUUUCCAGAGUUCCAGUAGAAGGUCAUUUACAGCCAGCCUUCCAACCGAAGCGGCAGCGACUUCAAACAAACUUCUUCCUUCUUGGUCUGAUCGUGGUUACAGGCUUCGUGUUUUAAACUCUCUACCCGGCUCAGGACCGCUGUAAAUGUUCUCGGAGGGAUUUUUGUAAUUAAGUGUGAUUUUUUUUCAUGGUUUGUUGUUUUUAAUAUAUAAAUAUCUGUAUAUGUAUAAAUAAUAGUUUGCUUUACGUAUUUUUUUAAACAGUUGCUAUUUAAAAAGGCCGUGCUUCCAGCCUUCCUUUUCAGGGUAUUUUCAGCGUUUAGGAUCGUGAGCCUGGAGUUCUAGCACAAAAUUACUGAAUUCU